GGGGAUGUAAGCUUAACGGUAAACUGCCGCUCUCCAAAAGCGGACUUCCAGGUUCGAAUCCUGGCAUCCCCGCCA
rnacentral:tRNA from 1 species